rnacentral:rRNA from 1 species
AGAGUUUGAUCAUGGCUCAGGAUGAACGCUAGCUACAGGCUUAACACAUGCAAGUCGAGGGGCAGCAUGGUCUUAGCUUGCUAAGGCCGAUGGCGACCGGCGCACGGGUGAGUAACACGUAUCCAACCUGCCGUCUACUCUUGGACAGCCUUCUGAAAGGAAGAUUAAUACAAGAUGGCAUCAUGAGUCCGCAUGUUCACAUGAUUAAAGGUAUUCCGG